rnacentral:rRNA from 1 species
GUGGGGAAUCUUGCGCAAUGGGCGGAAGCCUGACGCAGCAACGCCGCGUGAGGGAAGACGGCCUUCGGGUUGUAAACCUCUUUCAGGGGGGACGAAGCCUCCGGGGUGAAUAGCCCACGGGGUGACGGUACCCCCAGAAGAAGCCCCGGCUAACUACGUGCCAGCAGCCGCGGUAAUACGUAGGGGGCAAGCGUUGUCCGGAAUCAUUGGGCGUAAAGCGCGUGUAGGCGGCUUGGUAAGUCUGGUGUGAAACCUUGGGGCUCAACCCCAAGCCUGCACUGGAUACUGCCUCGCUUGAGUCCGGGAGGGGAGAGCGGAAUUCCUAGUGUAGCGGUGAAAUGCGCAGAUAUUAGGAAGAACACCGGUGGCGAAGGCGGCUCUCUGGAACGGUACUGACGCUGAGACGCGAAAGCGUGGGGAGCGAACAGGAUUAGAUACCCCUGUAGUCC